UUUAAACUCCAUCUUUACACAUUAGUAUCUCAAACUAACUAAUUUAUCUGCUUCUUGGACACUUUGGAGAACGACAGGGAGAGGAAGAGAGAAACUGGAGAAACUUUCUGCGACACUUCCGGUUGAAGCUUCCGGUAAUCACGCCCAGGUGUGUUCAGGUGUUCUCAGGUGUGUAUAUCAUUGUUUCGAGCAGGUAAGCGGUGCGGACCGCGGGCAGCAUGUUGGAAGAAGAAGGAGCCGGGGAAGGAAACAUGAAGUCUAGAUACUCAGAACUCUGUUGACGUCUUCCAGGAGGAUCCCCCGUCGGUGGCCGUCUUCCUGCUCAGGUAGGAGACUCAAAGCUUUCUUAAUGUUGUUUUAUUAUGUUCCAGGUUUUAGGUCUUAUAGAU